UUACUGGCAGGAUGAUCAAUGAAAGGUA
rnacentral:piRNA from 1 species